GAUUCGGACAGUCGGCUUCCAGGGCUGCUGCUGCCUCUUCUGGAAUGUGUCACUCGGCCAGCUCGCAUCUUGUCAAGCCCCCUCUCUCCUCGGGCCUCGGGAGGCGCACCUGCCAGAUGGCCCCGAGCGUGAGCCCCGCCCCCCGUAUUGGAGCUCCCAAAGGGACGCGUCCAGUGCCCGAAAAUUAAGACAUGGGUGGGGAGAUGGCGGCUGUUCUCAUGUCCUGUAACACAUUGAGUUGGCUACAAUAGGAAACGAUGCUGGGUGUGAAAGGCCCUUGGUUUGUUCCAACAGGGCUCUUCUUUGUACAUAAAUUGCAUAGCCACUGAGUAGCACAUAAAUAAGGGUAAGUUCUACCUCAGUGGCAGAGCAUCUGCUUUGCAUGAAUAGGUGAAAGGUUUGAGGAUAAUACUGGUUGGUAUCUGUCUGUCUCAGGAGACAGUGGAGGAGUGAACCUUUGGGGGCGCAGUCAGACUCUUGUAAGGUUGCAGCUCCUGUAUUAUUGUUGUUUAGUCUUUAGUCGUGUCCGACUCUUUGUGACCCCCUGGACCAGAGCACGCCAGGCACUCUUGUCUUCCACUGCCUCAUGUUCGUAGCUUCAAGAACACCGUCCAACCAUCUUUCUCUCUGUCGUCCCCUUCUCCUUGUGCCCUCCAUCUUUCCCAACAUCAGGGUCUUUUCCAGGGAGUCUUCUCUUCUCAUGAGGCUGCCAAAGUAUUGGAGCCUCAGCUUCAGGAUCUGUCCUUCCAGUGAGCACUCAGGGCUGAUUUCCUUCAGAAUGGAGAGGUUUGAUCUUGCAGUCCAUGGGACUCUCAAGAGUCUCCUCCAGCACCAGAAUUCAAAAGCAUCAAUUCUUCGGCGAUCAGCCUUUUUUCUGGUCCAUCUCUCACUUCCAUACAUCACUACUGGGAAAACCAUAGCUUUAACUAUAUGGACCUAAGCUAACUAAACUCCAUGGACAAAGACAACAGCUCCUGUAUAGUUGUAGAGAAUGAUAUGGGAGAUACAUGUUUUGUUGCAACUGGGACAGAUGAAGUCGUCACGUUGUGCUGCUACAGAUUCACCAUAGCAUUUCUCUCUGCACUCCUCUAGGCCUGGCUAAUUUAUAUUGCCACCUCCUGAGCCCCUCUGGUACCAGUGUCCAGCACGCCGAGGGAGAAACAAGCUGCAGUCUAGUGCUGGAGGCAGAGGGACUCAGGAGCGGUAUCAGUUUCACCAGUGAUAAACCCCUGAGUGAAACCACCAUCGGGAUCUGCCUCUCAUACUGGCAGAGGAAGAAACAAGUUGUAUACAUUUUGUUCCUCCUUCACUUCCUUAAACUGCUUGGCUGAAGAGCGUGCCACUGCCCUCGCUUCAGCCAAGCAGUUUUACGGAGUCCCCAACCCGCCACUGGUUGCCAUCCUGCCCCCCAGCUGAGCCUCGCCAGUCCCCCUCACCUGUCAAGGCAGUGGCAUAUGCUGUUUUGGUUGCCACCACUGCCUUGGCACAGGCGGGGGGAGGCGUGAGUGGGCCAACUCUUCCUCCCAGGAGGCAGUGGGUGAGUUAGACAUGCGAACGCAGCAUUCAAGUGCCUGCCUCAUAUGCCACUGCUUUGACACUGGCUCCUUUCCAACAUCGUAAUAUACCUCCAUAUUAGGGUGUUUAGCUGGUGGUAUAUUACAAUGUUCAAAAGCAGUUAUGGCCCAGCCCUACACUCCUCCCAGCGGUCAUUCUUCCUCUGGUCACUGCUAUAGAUACACAACUUGACCAUCUGUCUCCAGGCACUGCGGUCAUCUGCAAGGGAUUCCCACAAGGUGGGGUUGAUGUUGUCAGCAUUCAUGUCAUGUUUGCAGACAUUUUUGUAACACAGAGUUGGUCUGCCAAUGGGCCUGGUGCCUGAAGCCAGCUUUCCCUGGGGAGCAUGUCCUUGGGGGUCCUGCCAGCUGUGCCAAUACCCACAUAACUGAUCACAUGACAUGGCACACACACACCAUUUCCCUCAACUUGGGGAGGGGCAGCCCCCUUAAACAUUUUAUUGGGGGGAGCAAUGGGACCUCGGCCCCUAGGCUCCUAUGGGUCCUGCCAUCUUCCAUUCUGUGGACAUGACCAAGUCAGUGUAGAUGUUGCUGAGAUGGGGGAGUGAACAGGCUGGGAAUGUGGAUUUGGGAGAGCACAUCUUUGUUUGAAAAACUGUCCUGCCAUGAGAUACCCAAAAUCUUCCUGACACAGUGCAUGCACAAGGCAUUGAGGUGUUACUCCUGAUGAUUGUAAGUUGCCCAUGACUCACUUCUAUCACAUUCUCCCGUACCCUUUUGGAGAGGUGGGCUAUUGCUGUAGCUGCCUUGCCAAUACACUGGUCCAGCUCAGCACUGAUGAAGAGGUUGCUAAUGGAGAGGAACCCAGUUCAACAAAAUUAUCUACCACCUCAGAUGUGGAGUGCUGGUGCUGUCUUGACCUAAGUUACUGUAAGGCUGAUGGUGAGACCAAAUUCCCUGCAGGCUUUGGCAAAACAGUUGAUGGGUCUCUGUAGAGCUGCCUCUGUGUGUGCUGUCAAGGCUGCGUCAUCUGUAAACAAUAUCUCUCAGAUAAGAACCUGCCACACUUUAGUCUUGGCAUGGAACUGUGCUAGGUUGAACAGAACCCAGUUGUUCCUUGAAUGGUGUACACACCAUUUUCAGUCAAGCUGAAGGCAUAGGACAUCAACAGCGACAAUAAUAUGGCACAAAGAGUUGGGGUGAGAACACAGCCCUGUUUCAUAGCAUUUUUUAUAGGGAGGGCAUCUGAGGAUGAGCUGUCAUAUUGGACAGUGCUACGCGUGCUCUUGUGGAAGGACACAAUCCUCUUGUGAAGCUUAGGUGGGCAACCUAUCUUGUUGAGCAGUGUGACAAGUCCUUUUCAGCUGAUGAGAUCAAAGGCCUUCAUCAGAUCUAUGAAGGCAAUAUAUGAAAGGGUGUCUCUGCUCUUGGCAUUUCUCCUGCAGCUGACACAGUGAGAAGAUCAGGUCAACUGUUGACCUCUGAGCUCUAAAACCGUAUUGUGACACAGGAUAGAUUCUGUCAGCGAGUGACUGUGAUUUGUUGAGAACUACAUGGGUUUUACAGCCAUGAUGGUCACCUUUGUUCUUGCAGAGGGUCAUGAUGCUUUAGUAGCGCAUGUCUUGUGCCAUGGGACCUUAUUCCCAACACUGUGGCGGUGUGUGAUGAGGGAGGAUUUAAAAGUAGCAUUCUGUUGGGAUUCUGUCCUGUCCUGGGACUUUACUGCAUGCCUGAGAUUUGAUGGCAUUCUUCAGCUCCUUGAGAGUGGGGGAGCACCUUGCUCUUCCAAGACAGGAUACUGUCGACUGCUGUGUCAGAGACCAUGUUUCUCUGCAAGGACAGUUAUUGGUAGUGCUCUGCCCAUUGCUUCAUCUGCUUGCUGCAGUCUGUGAUGAUCUCUCCAGACAUGGUUUUCAGCAGUGCAGUUUUUUUUGACAAUUGGUCCAAAGGCUUUUUUCACUGUACAUUUUGCAAGUGUUGCCGGUGUUAGCAGCAAGUUGAAUGCUCAGACACAGCUUUAGCCAGUAGUCAGCACAUUGUCUGGCAAUCUGCUGGGCAUCACUCCUUCCCUUUCUCACUGUAGCAAGUAUCUUUUCAUAGUGUGCAAACUUGGAGUUCACAAAAGCCUAAUGCCUUUGUAGCAAUAACAGGCUCCAUGUCCUUUAUACAGUACUGGCCUUUUGGAGCUAUGGAGGUAAGGCUCCGCUUGUGCUGAGGCACACCUCACACCUGGCACACCACAGCGUGCCAAGGAGCCUUGCACCCGCGCUCCAUGAACUUGUGGCCUCUUGGCAAGUAGACAGGGUUUCCCCCCUGACCUUUUGUCCUUUCAUUUGAUCUGUUUACUAGACAGAACGCUUGGCUAAAGCAUAACAAGGAACACAGACACAAUCCACUGUCACAACGCCUAUGGGAAACCCCUGCUAAUGCUCAGAAUGUGUUUAGAUGGAAUAUAUUAAAGUUCAGAGUGGUUUCACUACCUCUUUUUCCAACUGUAUUUUAUCCAAUAAAAAGAGGCUCCGCAAGGCUGGCUUUUCAGCUUGCUCCUGCACAGCUCACUUGCAUCCAACCUUUUGUCGCCCUCGUUAUUCCUACACCAAGCCCACAGGUAAGGAUAGCAUCAAAGCAAGCCAAUUAGUGUAUAUCAAAGCAAGUAAAUAUAAACACAUAUGAGCUCAUUGCUACAACAACUACCAAUUAACAUUGGAAUUAUAUUGACUACCAAGAUGGCAUUAGAAAAGCUUCUGGAACAGUUCACCUUUGGUUCAACACACUUGUGAUCCUCUAAGACCUUAUGGAAGAACUGUUGAGCAAGCCUGCAGUAUAUCACAAUGCAGACAUUGCAGAAAUCAAUACAGACCAUUCCAGCCAUACUAAUCCUGACUCAGACUGGCAGUAAAUCUCCACGCUCUAAAGCAAACAAAACAAAAACCGUUAUUUGAUACUACUAAAGAAUUUUAGACAAGCAAUCCGAUGGCUUGCAACCUGUGUGCAGGAGGAAGGACUCCCAUCCCCCAGAAGCUCAGCCAUCAAAUUAUAUAUACUGUUUUAAAUGUUUCAUGCAAAUGGGGCCCUAUUAUUUUGUGGAAAUUGAAAAUUUGUUAAGGGGGAAUAAUUGAGGGUGUCAAAAUACGGACAUUAUCAGGUUUUGAUUUUCAUCUUUAUUAUCUACAGAACAGUGACAUUUGAACUGUGUGCUGGAACAUGUCAGUGGAUAGAGAGAGAGGGAUAGGAAGGAAGGAAGGAAGGAAGGAAGGAAGAUAAAGUUCCUAAAGGUAAGAGUUGUUAAACCAUGGAACAGACUGCCUUGGUAGGUGGUGGGCUCUACUUUACUGGAGGUAUUUAAGCAAAGGCAUCAGGAUGGCCAGCUGUCAGGGAUGCUGUAGUUGCAUCCUGCACUGCAAAGCCUACAUUGAGCAGGGAGGUUUGUCUUGAGGACCUCCAUGCUGGAGAACAGCAACAACUGACAAAAGAUAGACAUAAUACAGUGGUACCUUGGUUUUCAAAUGCCUUGGUAGUCAAACGCCUUGGUUCCCAAAUGCCAAACCCGGAAUUGUUCUGGUUUUCGAACGUUUUUCGGAAGCCGAGCAUCCGGUGUGGCUGUUAGCUAUUGUUUCCAGGGCGCCUGCACCAAUCAGAAGCUGUGCCUUGGUAUUCAAACAUUUCAGAAGUCAAACGGACUUCUGGAACAGAUUAAGUUUGGCACUUUUGUUUUUGCUAUUUAUUUUGCGUUUUUGUUUUUGAGGCUUUUUCCGUUAAUUUGUGUUUUGUGUAGAACCCAGUUCAGCUACUAAUUGAUUGAUUGAUUGAUUGACUGACUGCGGAAAUGGAUAAAAGCCCCACAUCCAAACAAUGAAUAUCACCAGUGUAGGUAAGAAAAAAACCCUAAUUUUAAGUUUUAUCAUCUACAAUACUGUCUUAUUUAAUUUAUAGUAUAUUACAUUGAUUAUUGCUUUCAUUUUAUGGAUCAAUGGUCUCGUUAGAUAGUAAAAUUCAUGUUAAAUUGCUGUUUUAGGGGUUGUUUUUAAAAGUCUGGAACGGAUUAAUCCAUUUUGCAUUACUUUCUAUGGGAAAGUGCGCCUUGGUUUUGGAACGCUUUGGUUUUGGAACGGACUUCUGGAAUGGAUUAAGUCUGAGAAUCAAGGUAGAAACAGGAAGAAACACUAUGGAUGGAAUAAUUGCCACACACAGAAAGGAGAGUUUGAAUGCUUCAUCUGUAGGUGCAGAAAUCAUUCAACGUGUCAUUAUGAACAGAAGUCAUUAAAACUGCAGCUGCCAUACAAAGGAUUGGUAUUUGGACUGGAGCGUAAUUGAAAUUUAUAAGAGUUUGGAACGCAGAAACGUCACCAAACCAUUAAUUCUAGUAUGUGGGGGGCCACCUAAUUGUAUAAUUUGGCAUCUCAAUUAUUAGUAUUGUUAAUUGUAUUAUAAUUUGGCAUUGUAAUGAGGCUAUUACUGGAU
rnacentral:lncRNA from 1 species